rnacentral:rRNA from 2 species
GAUGUUAGCGGCGGACGGGUGAGUAACACGUGGGUAACCUGCCUGUAAGACUGGGAUAACUCCGGGAAACCGGAGCUAAUACCGGAUAGUUCCUUGAACCGCAUGGUUCAAGGAUGAAAGACGGUUUCGGCUGUCACUUACAGAUGGACCCGCGGCGCAUUAGCUAGUUGGUGGGGUAAUGGCUCACCAAGGCGACGAUGCGUAGCCGACCUGAGAGGGUGAUCGGCCACACUGGGACUGAGACACGGCCCAGACUCCUACGGGAGGCAGCAGUAGGGAAUCUUCCGCAAUGGACGAAAGUCUGACGGAGCAACGCCGCGUGAGUGAUGAAGGUUUUCGGAUCGUAAAGCUCUGUUGUUAGGGAAGAACAAGUGCGAGAGUAACUGCUCGCACCUUGACGGUACCUAACCAGAAAGCCACGGCUAACUACGUGCCAGCAGCCGCGGUAAUACGUAGGUGGCAAGCGUUGUCCGGAAUUAUUGGGCGUAAAGGGCUCGCAGGCGGUUUCUUAAGUCUGAUGUGAAAGCCCCCGGCUCAACCGGGGAGGGUCAUUGGAAACUGGGAAACUUGAGUGCAGAAGAGGAGAGUGGAAUUCCACGUGUAGCGGUGAAAUGCGUAGAGAUGUGGAGGAACACCAGUGGCGAAGGCGACUCUCUGGUCUGUAACUGACGCUGAGGAGCGAAAGCGUGGGGAGCGAACAGGAUUAGAUACCCUGGUAGUCCACGCCGUAAACGAUGAGUGCUAAGUGUUAGGGGGUUUCCGCCCCUUAGUGCUGCAGCUAACGCAUUAAGCACUCCGCCUGGGGAGUACGGUCGCAAGACUGAAACUCAAAGGAAUUGACGGGGGCCCGCACAAGCGGUGGAGCAUGUGGUUUAAUUCGAAGCAACGCGAAGAACCUUACCAGGUCUUGACAUCCUCUGACAACCCUAGAGAUAGGGCUUUCCCUUCGGGGACAGAGUGACAGGUGGUGCAUGGUUGUCGUCAGCUCGUGUCGUGAGAUGUUGGGUUAAGUCCCGCAACGAGCGCAACCCUUGAUCUUAGUUGCCAGCAUUUAGUUGGGCACUCUAAGGUGACUGCCGGUGACAAACCGGAGGAAGGUGGGGAUGACGUCAAAUCAUCAUGCCCCUUAUGACCUGGGCUACACACGUGCUACAAUGGACAGAACAAAGGGCUGCGAGACCGCAAGGUUUAGCCAAUCCCAUAAAUCUGUUCUCAGUUCGGAUCGCAGUCUGCAACUUCGACUGCGUGAAGCUGGAAUCGCUAGUAAUCGCGGAUCAGCAUGC